UAACCCUUAUCUCAUUCUCUCAUCUUAUCAAUUUUAGUCUUCUACUUCAGCCGCCUCUCUCUAUUCCCAUUCUCUCAUCUGCCAUCGCCCUAUCUCCCUCAACCUCUCUCUCAUCUCAGUCUCGUAGACUGCCCUCAAGCUCGCUGCUUAGCUCGCUUCUCACAGAGUUCAUCUAAGAAUGCUACAGAAGUUCAGUUAUGUCCAGAAAUAAAGCAGCUCUUGAAAGAGGCGAGCUCCUUUUCACAGCCAUCAACAUUUGCUCAAGCUGUAAAACUUAGGAGGUUAGCUGCUGCAAAGGAGAAGGAACUUGCAAAUCAUAAGGCUAUUUGCAAUUGCAGUGAUUAAUUUUCCUUUACAUAAAUGCUGACAUAAUUAUUGCAUAAGUUUAUACAACCAUAAUUUCUCAAGCCUGCUACUUGUACAUGUUGCAUAAAUCUAUGGAACAAUUAAUAAUGCAUUUACAAAAAAAAUUAUGGUUCAUGGUUUUUCUCUCUCUCUAUGUUAGCAAGUGUCUAAUAUAAAAAUUUAGUAAAUUUUUUUCCAUGAGCCGCCACCCUGACUUGCCCAAUUAAAGGCAAGGUGACCAUGUCCCAUUUGCAAAUAUCCCUCUAUACUUUUGCUUGUGGUUGACCCUAGGGGUUUUCUUGCCAAUCCUGUCAUACUUCUUACUUUCGUUAAUUUAAUAUUUAAUAUAUUUCUUUAUUUAAUAUAAAUUAUAAAUUUAUAUAUUUAUUAAUGAUUUGAUUUUAUAUAGAUUUAUUUUUUAAAAAAAUAAAAAAUAUAUUUUUAAAUAUUUAAAUAAUCAAAUGUGGUUUUUAAAGAAAUUAAAAGAAUUUUUAUUUCUUCACUUUUGUCAUAUUAAUAAGAAAAUACUGAGUAUUAAAUUAUCAUAAAAAACGCAUAUCCUUAUUUAGAAAAAAAAAAUAAAUCCUUCGAUCUUCUAACAAAUAUUAGAUUCGAGUUUUUACUCUCUUAAUUUCUUAUAAAAAAAUACCUCCCUCUCUCUUAGUUUUCUUGUAACUUACUUUUUUUUUUUUAAUUCAAAUCAAUCAUUCACUGAAAUAACCUGAAUAUGACUCAUUUAUCACCUUUUUAUUAUAUGCACAAUAAAAAUUUAAUAUAAACUUUUUUUAUCAUCUUUAAUUUGUGUAAAUUUUGCUAUAUCAUGAAUAUUAGAUCGUGAGAUGAUCUAUCCCUGAUCCGAGGUUCAAAUUGAUUUCAUUGUUAGGGUUGUACCAGGGAUAUAGGUGAUGAAUCCCUAUUUGAUGCUAGCUGCAACAUUGGAGCCAAUCAUGGUGGAGAAGAUAUGGUUUUCAUCUAAAGGGCACUUUAAGUUUGGUUUAUUAUUUAUGUUUUGGGAGUUUUGUGAAAUCUUGUAUUAGUUAAUUCAUGAUAUCAUUAUAUGCAUAACUAUUAUUGAUAAGCGUUCCUAUUGCAAUAGUGGCUUUACCACUCCUAUUAAUAUUAGUAGCUUUAUUUGAAGUGAUUGGGUUUGUUUGAAUAAUGUUGUAGUUUGGGUGGUGUAAAGUGGAAGUA